GAUGAAGAACGUAGCGAAAUGCGAUAACUAAUGUGAAUUGCAGAAUUCCGUGAAUCAUCGAGUCUUUGAACGCACAUUGCGCCCCCUGGUAUUCCGGGGGGCAUGCCUGUCCGAGCGUCAUUGCUGCCCAUCAAGCACGGCUUGUGUGUUGGGUCCUCGUCCCCCCCGGGGACGUGCCCGAAAGGCAGCGGCGGCACCGCGUCCGGUCCUCGAGCGUAUGGGGCUUUGUCACCCGCUCUGCAGGCCCGGCCGGCGCUGGCCGACGCGAAAGCAACCAUUUUUUCUCCAGGUUGACCUCGGAUCAGGUAGGGAUACCCGCUGAACUUAAGCAUAUCAAUAAGCGGAGGA
rnacentral:misc_RNA from 1 species